rnacentral:lncRNA from 1 species
GAGGAAAGAAGGCAGAGCUGGGGAGCUCCUCCUUGUGCCCUCUGACACGUCAAGGGCAAACUCAGGAGAAGGAGGAUGAAAGGAUUUUGACGCUGGAAACUCCUCCACAGGGUAUCCGCUGAAUUUGUUCUCCUCCAGAGAACCCACCCAAAGGGGAGAUUCACCCAGAGCUAACAUCUGUUGCCAAUCUUCCUAUUUUUUUUCCUCCCUAAAGCUCCACUGCAUGGAUGUAUAUCUUAGCUGAAGUCCUAGUUCUUCUAUGUGAGCUGCCACCACAGCAUGACUACUGACAGACAGAUGGUGUGGUUCCACGACUGGGAAACUAACCCAGGCCACCAAAGUGGUGAGAACACCAAAAGUUAACCACUAGGGCAUCAGGGCCAGCUCCAGAAAAUUUAUUUUAGAAAUCAAACAAUGUUAGAAUAAGAUUUCUAUGAUACAAAAGUCAUGUGUUCUACUGGACAGAAAUCCGCAGGUGGACAUGGAACUUCGCAGUGCCUGGGCUCAAACCAAACAGUAAAUUGCAAACUCAAACAUAAAGGAUAACUUUUCCCCACUAUCCAGCUGACAAGCAUCAUUAAACAGUCAGACCAUGGUUCUCAAUCGCUGCUGCCACCAACGGGGAUUAAUUCUCUGCUGAGCACAGCACAGAGCCAGAACCAUACUUGGCCAAGAACUAGGAACACAAACAAAGGCACAAGCUCAGAACACCAAAAAACAAAAUGAAGACUCGAUGAAAUGAAGUUCUUGGCCCUUUGAGAAUCAUUCUGGGGGCCAGGAGAACAUGAGCUUGGUUUUGAGCAGCCAUGAUGUACGCUUCUUCAGCAAGGUCGACUUGCUCCCUCAGGCGAGUCCACCCAAGCAACUGGGAAGGACAUCCAAAGCCAUCAAAAUAUAAUUUUCUGAAAGGUAAAAAACUGAUAUUCAUAUAAAUAUAAAAUAAACGUGUCAAAGAUCUUAUUCAAUUUAUAGUAAUUAAUGAAGCAACCAGUAAGAUGGUUAAACCAGUUCAAAGAGCACUUGAAGAAUGAGGGUUCAGAGGCAAUCUA